rnacentral:lncRNA from 1 species
UCUUUAAAUAAAUGACUUAGACAGUUAUUUGGUUCAGUGAUUAUUACUUUGAAUUCAUCUGGUUUUAUAAAUGUAAUAAAGGAUCUGUGAUUUUUUUGUGAAAUGAAAAUGGUUUUCUACCCCUCGUGGUAGCGAGUUUUAAAAGAAAAAAGUUUUCGUGUGGGAAACAGUUUUUAAAAGGUCUUCUGGAUUUUCAUGACUUUUAUGUUGAAUUGAAUAUGAAUGUGAAUGGUGUAUGAAUCUGUGGAUGUUCAUAUGUGUGGUUGUAUCCUGUAUGGUAAAUAUUGUAUCUUAUACUUGUGCGACGCCGUGCAAAUACAGAGGAGACUCUGUCCGUGUGAACAGUGGAUUUCCUAUAUUUGUGGCGGAUUUGGCAUACCCUGGGGGUCAGGUUUUUUUUUUUUAAAAAAAUUUGGGCACUUCCGCAGUGAUUUAUAAUCGAAAGAGACCCUAGGGCGUGACAGAUUAAAGUGUCACACCCCAAUAAUCCCACAUCGGAUAGGAAUGGGGAUGUGAUUGGGUAUAUAAGAGACUUAGAGACUAGUAAUAAUAACUGGGCUUAAGCAUUUUGGGCCGGUGGUUGGGCCCAACGAGUUAUUGUUGCUAGUGGGCUCGGUCGUUACAUUUGGUAUCAGAGCCAAUCACCAACUGAGAAUAUGUGGCGAGUCUCGGCCGAGCUAGGGUCUGAAAGAGAAUAUGAUAGGCUAUGCCAAAGUCUGUAUGACAAGGUGACCGGCUAUACCAAGGUCUGAAUGACAAGGCUAGCGAGACGAGUCUCACAUCGCCUGGUGAUCUUGGGCUGUGUAUGUGAUUGGACUGACGAGGACAUCAGGCCCUUAACGGGGCGAGUCUGUCACACCCCAAUAAUCCCACAUCGGAUAGGAAUGGAGAUGUGAUUGGGUAUAUAAGAGACUUAGACACUAGUAAUAAUAACUGGGCUUAAGUAUUUUGGGUCGGUGUUUGGGCCCAACGAGUUAUUGUUGCUAGUGGGCCGGGUCGUUACAGGAAUACUAUUAAUAGCACCAAUGACUUGGUGCUAUUAAGCUUUCCGCCCUUGGAUUAAAAGGUAUGCGGUUAGGAUGAUGUGGGCCCCC